rnacentral:rRNA from 1 species
GAGCGGACAGAUGGGAGCUUGCUCCCUGAUGUUAGCGGCGGACGGGUGAGUAACACGUGGGUAACCUGCCUGUAAGACUGGGAUAACUCCGGGAAACCGGGGCUAAUACCGGAUGCUUGUUUGAACCGCAUGGUUCAAACAUAAAAGGUGGCUUCGGCUACCACUUACAGAUGGACCCGCGGCGCAUUAGCUAGUUGGUGAGGUAAUGGCUCACCAAGGCAACGAUGCGUAGCCGACCUGAGAGGGUGAUCGGCCACACUGGGACUGAGACACGGCCCAGACUCCUACGGGAGGCAGCAGUAGGGAAUCUUCCGCAAUGGACGAAAGUCUGACGGAGCAACGCCGCGUGAGUGAUGAAGGUUUUCGGAUCGUAAAGCUCUGUUGUUGGGGAAGAACAAGUCCCGUUCAAAUCUGGCGCGCCUUUCCCGGAGCGUAACUCCAAACCCCCGGAAUGUUAGAGGCUAUCAACAGCCUGGAUACGUUUCGUGCUAUGGUUGUCCUGAAUUAAUGUGGCCCAGGGCUCGCAGCGGGUUCCUUAAGUCUGAUGUGAAAGCCCCGGCUCAACCCGGGAGGGGUCAUUGGAAACUGGGGAACUUGAGUGCAGAAGAGGAGAGGGGAAUUCCCACGUGUAGCGGUGAAAUGCGUAGAGAUGUGGAGGAACACCAGUGGCGAAGGCGACUCUCUGGUCUGUAACUGACGCUGAGGAGCGAAAGCGUGGGGAGCGAACAGGAUUAGAUACCCUGGUAGUCCACGCCGUAAACGAUGAGUGCUAAGUGUUAGGGGGUUUCCGCCCCUUAGUGCUGCAGCUAACGCAUUAAGCACUCCGCCUGGGGAGUACGGUCGCAAGACUGAAACUCAAAGGAAUUGACGGGGGCCCGCACAAGCGGUGGAGCAUGUGGUUUAAUUCGAAGCAACGCGAAGAACCUUACCAGGUCUUGACAUCCUCUGACAAUCCUAGAGAUAGGACGUCCCCUUCGGGGGCAGAGUGACAGGUGGUGCAUGGUUGUCGUCAGCUCGUGUCGUGAGAUGUUGGGUUAAGUCCCGCAACGAGCGCAACCCUUGAUCUUAGUUGCCAGCAUUCAGUUGGGCACUCUAAGGUGACUGCCGGUGACAAACCGGAGGAAGGUGGGGAUGACGUCAAAUCAUCAUGCCCCUUAUGACCUGGGCUACACACGUGCUACAAUGGACAGAACAAAGGGCAGCGAAACCGCGAGGUUAAGCCAAUCCCACAAAUCUGUUCUCAGUUCGGAUCGCAGUCUGCAACUCGACUGCGUGAAGCUGGAAUCGCUAGUAAUCGCGGAUCAGCAUGACGCGGUGAAUACGUUCCCGGGCCUUGUACACUCCGCCCGUAAC